rnacentral:misc_RNA from 1 species
GAAGAAACAAAGCAAGUAAAGAUGAUUGUUUCAGUUUAGCAUAGAGAGGGAAGAAUUAGACUGGUUCAGUUAGCAGUUUUACAUUGAGCAAACGACUUUUGCGUUUGCUUUUCUCCUGUUGUGUUUUUAUUUAUGCUACCUUAAACACCGUUAAAAAUGCUCUUUGCUUUAUCGUAGGAAAGAACAAAGGUUGGAAAAAGUGUAUUAUGUUGGUGA